UACCGCAUACGACAUUUUAUGGCAUCAGAGAAUGUUAAAAGGUCCGUUUGGACCACUAAUGGAUGAGGGUGCGGCGUAUUAGUUAGUUGGUGGGGUAAUAGCCUACCAAGACAAUGAUACGUAGCCGAACUGAGAGGUUGAUCGGCCACAUCGGGACUGAGACACGGCCCGAACUCCUACGGGAGGCAGCAGUAGGGAAUUUUUCACAAUGGGCGAAAGCCUGAUGGAGCAAUGCCGCGUGACUGAAGAUGGUCUUCGGAUUGUAAAGGUCUGUUGUAAGGGAAGAACAGCAAGUAUAGGAAAUGAUACUUAUUUGACGGUACCUUACCAGAAAGCCACGGCUAACUAUGUGCCAGCAGCCGCGGUAAUACAUAGGUGGC
rnacentral:rRNA from 1 species